UACGAAGGGGGCUAGCGUUGUUCGGAAUCACUGGGCGUAAAGCGCACGUAGGCGGAUCUUUAAGUCAGGGGUGAAAUCCCGAGGCUCAACCUCGGAACUGCCUUUGAUACUGGGGAUCUCGAGUCCGGGAGAGGUGAGUGGAACUGCGAGUGUAGAGGUGAAAUCCGUAAAUAUACGAAGGAACGCCAAAAGCGAAGGCAGCUCUCUGGGUCCCUACCGACGCUGGGGUGCGAAAGCAUGGGGAGCGAACAGG
rnacentral:rRNA from 1 species